rnacentral:rRNA from 1 species
GAUGAACGCUAGCGGCAGGCUUAAUACAUGCAAGUCGUGGGGCAUCAUGAGUGUAGCAAUACAUUUGAUGGCGACCGGCAAACGGGUGCGGAACACGUACAGAACCCUCCUUCAAGCGGGGCAUAGCCCAGAGAAAUUUGGAUUAAUACCCCAUAAUAUAAUGAAGAGGCAUCUCUUUGUUAUUAAAGAUUUAUCACUUGAAGAUGGCUGUGCGGCUGAUUAGGUAGUUGGCGGGGUAACGGCCCACCAAGCCUGCGAUCAGUAACUGGUGUGAGAGCACGACCAGUCACACGGGCACUGAGACACGGGCCCGACUCCUACGGGAGGCAGCAGUAAGGAAUAUUGGUCAAUGGACGCAAGUCUGAACCAGCCAUGCCGCGUGGAGGAUGAAGGUCCUCUGGAUUGUAAACUUCUUUUAUAUGGGACGAAAAAAGGCUUUUCUAAGUCGUCUGACGGUACCAUAUGAAUAAGCACCGGCUAACUCCGUGCCAGCCGCCGCGGUAACAC